ACGGCGUCGAGCGGCGGACGGGUGAGUAAUGCCUAGGAAAUUGCCCUGAUGUGGGGGAUAACCAUUGGAAACGAUGGCUAAUACCGCAUAAUGCCUACGGGCCAAAGAGGGGGACCUUCGGGCCUCUCGCGUCAGGAUAUGCCUAGGUGGGAUUAGCUAGUUGGUGAGGUAAGGGCUCACCAAGGCGACGAUCCCUAGCUGGUCUGAGAGGAUGAUCAGCCACACUGGAACUGAGACACGGUCCAGACUCCUACGGGAGGCAGCAGUGGGGAAUAUUGCACAAUGGGCGCAAGCCUGAUGCAGCCAUGCCGCGUGUGUGAAGAAGGCCUUCGGGUUGUAAAGCACUUUCAGUCGUGAGGAAGGUAGUGUAGUUAAUAGCUGCAUUAUUUGACGUUAGCGACAGAAGAAGCACCGGCUAACUCCGUGCCAGCAGCCGCGGUAAUACGGAGGGUGCGAGCGUUAAUCGGAAUUACUGGGCGUAAAGCGCAUGCAGGUGGUU
rnacentral:rRNA from 1 species